CCCGCACUGGUGCAGCCAUGUCCUCUUCCCUGUGGGAGCCUGCGCCCCUGCGCCGGGUGUUCGUGGUGGGGGUUGGCAUGACUAAGUUCGUGAAGCCUGGAGCUGAGAAUUCAAGAGACUACCCUGACUUGGCAGGAGAAGCAGGCAAGAAGGCUUUAGCUGAUGCACAGAUCCCUUAUUCAGCAGUGGACCAGGCAUGUGUUGGCUAUGUUUUUGGUGACUCUACCUGUGGGCAGAGGGCUAUCUAUCACAGUUUGGGAAUGACUGGAAUUCCUAUAAUCAAUGUCAACAAUAACUGUGCUACUGGUUCUACUGCUUUGUUUAUGGCCCGCCAGCUGAUUCAGGGUGGUGUGGCAGAAUGUGUCUUGGCUCUUGGGUUUGAGAAGAUGAAUAAGGGAAGCCUUGGAAUAAAAUUUUCAGAUAGAACCAUUCCCACUGAUAAGCAUGUUGACCUCCUGAUCAAUAAGUAUGGAUUGUCUGCUCACCCAAUUGCUCCUCAGAUGUUUGGGUAUGCUGGAAAAGAACAUAUGGAAAAAUAUGGUAUUCCCAGUUCCAAGAUGAAUACAGUUU
rnacentral:sRNA from 1 species